AAGUGAAAUUCGAGUGUCACCCAC
rnacentral:piRNA from 1 species